rnacentral:lncRNA from 1 species
GGAUCUGGCUACGAAGAAGCUAGACUGAAGUCUACCUGUAAUGGAAGUUCGGAAGAGACAUGUUUACAGCAGGGGCUCGAAUGAAAUUUUCUUACAGUAGAGAUCCAGAGUAGACCGCCCGCUGUAGGAGUUCGGAGUAGACCGCUCGUAGUAGAAGUUUGGAGCAGACCGCUCGUAGUAGAAGUUCGGCUCUCAUAGGAGCCCGGUUAGAAUCUUGAAGGUGAUCGACCGUCGUAGAAACUCAGAUGGAGUCUGAUUACUAUAGAAACCUCAUUGUCGAAGAAGCUCAGAUAUUGAUGAAGUUCGAAAGGAGU